rnacentral:rRNA from 1 species
UGGGGAAUAUUGGACAAUGGGGGCAACCCUGAUCCAGCCAUGCCGCGUGUGUGAAGAAGGCCUUCGGGUUGUAAAGCACUUUCAGCGAGGAAGAACGCCUAGUGGUUAAUACCCAUUAGGAAAGACAUCACUCGCAGAAGAAGCACCGGCUAACUCCGUGCCAGCAGCCGCGGUAAUACGGAGGGUGCAAGCGUUAAUCGGAAUUACUGGGCGUAAAGCGCGCGUAGGUGGCUUGAUAAGCCGGUUGUGAAAGCCCCGGGCUCAACCUGGGAACGGCAUCCGGAACUGUCAAGCUAGAGUGCAGGAGAGGAAGGUAGAAUUCCCGGUGUAGCGGUGAAAUGCGUAGAGAUCGGGAGGAAUACCAGUGGCGAAGGCGGCCUUCUGGACUGACACUGACACUGAGGUGCGAAAGCGUGGGUAGCAAACAG